UACACCCAAGUCGGCUUUAAAGAGAACCCGAAACUGGCUUUGCUGUUUAGCCGUGGUCCUGCAUCCCCCACCACCACCUCCCCUGUGUUUUCUUUUCAGUGCAUCCUGGGAACCUGGAGAAGUAAUUACAUCAUUAUGACUCUCCCUUUCAGCUCGUCCGAUUGGUUUUGUGGGAACCUUGGUGCAGGAAAGAAGGAAUUGCAGUGAAGUUCCCAUGCGACUGGCUGCCGUCUUGGCGUGAACCCGCUGCAAAAAGAAUAGGCCACAGUUUUAUUUAUAGACGAGGCCUGCUAUCACUGUCUGUAUAAUGAACUGGUGAAUAUGUUGAGAUGCAACGCACACCUGUCACUUCAUACAGUGAUAAAGUUUCGCUCCGUUCACUUGAGGUCAGAGUAUCUCAGCGGGGAGACACCCGGGCUGUGAAUCUUCCAUCUCUGACUCUGACUCCUUUGCACUUCAAAGUCUCACCGCGCACCUUGAGAUCACCAACUCUGCAUCUCAGAUGGAGAAUAAAAGAGAUACAUUAUGCUUUGAAGAAAUUGAUCCCCGAAGAUGGCAAGCCGGAUGUCAGCCAGUGUGGUUAUUAUACUGGUAUGGUUCUGCAAGCAGGUUUUUUUUCUUUUAUUCCUUUUGUGAAAGCGAUACUAUUAGAUCUGCUAUUACGAGUCAAUAAUCUUCAUCCCUGAUGUUGCCACAGUGCUGAUGUGUUUUUAGAUGCCAUGUCAUACAAAAGGGGAAGGCUGACAGUAGGUGAGAUUUGACCGAAUUUGUUUUCAUUUACAAAUUCCUUCCUUUUUAAGUUAAACACCCCUUCCUGUAUUGGCGUAAAUCUGCACUCCACCCGAUGAAAUUAAAUAGAAAAGGUAGGCUUUAUCACAACUUGAUUUGUCCAAAUCUGCUGCACGCUGCUCUGAAUCUCUACAUUACUGCCCAUAUCAGAGAACAGCAAGCUGGAGCAUAUAGCAAAUUCAGCAAUCAAUGUGAAUGUGAAACAUGCUUACUGUUCAGUGGACCGGAUAGGGGGGAGAAAAAUCCUUACUCCUGACACAACAUUAUUUCUAUGAGUCUAUUAGAAAAUAACAGCAUUUGCAAAGACGGGGGAGGAAUACAUUAUCAGCAGUUAGG